GCCUCCGUAGUCUAACGGAUAUGACGCCACGCUUCGGACGUGGAGACUGUAGGUUCGACUCCUGCCGGAGGCA
rfam:Parcubacteria group bacterium CG2_30_36_38 cg2_3.0_scaffold_602_c, whole genome shotgun sequence.